UUUUUUUUUUUUUUUUUGCCUUGUAGUAUGUGAGAAUGAUCAAGAAAUCAGGUCCCCAGGGUCAGGGGCCAGAGUGGAAACUGGCUGAUGCCCAAACCUGUGGGAGGGAAUUAUGGGGUGAAAAGAAACUCUAGCAUCCAGCAGAGGGAAAAGGUAGACAGAAGAGAGGUGUCCGGUGCGUGCCUCAUGGCCACCAUCCUUUACUCUCUUUCUCCCACUUCUGGACCCAGCCACGUGGCUUGGUUGUUUGGGGAGUAGGGGAGUUUGUGGCAUUGGCCUUGUGGUGUUCAAGGGAGGAAGAGGAAAGAGGGAUCAGGGAAUGGACCCUCCUUGCUGGGAGCAGCACUUCUCUUCUCUCCUGGCCACAAGGUGGACAGCACAGAACAAGAGCUUGCAGUUGUCUCAUGAUUGACUUUUUCCAAAGGCUUUCCAACUGCCUCUUUCACAUAGUCAUCUCCAUACAACCAAGCCCUCUGAUUUCCAGAAGAGGCCAAGGUUGUAAUUUGCUUCCUCCUGCUCCAGGACUAAUAUUAGAAAGGAUAUGAGUCCUCCUUUGCCUAUAAGGGUUUGGGCCCUGUCCUCCGUGGUACCCAAGUUCUAGACCCAGGGAGUUCUUGCAGCUGUCAGUCAGGCAGCAAGAGGCAUUGAGUCUCUGUGGAGCAGGGACUCACUCGGCUCACAGCGUGGACUCUGCUCAACACAGCCUACUGAUGAGGCUAAAAUGUGCUGUGAGCACAGCCUUGGCCUGACCCUUUGCGGCACAUUUCACUCCACGCUUCAGCAUCCCCAGGGUAUAGCCAUUGUUCCAGUUUUAACAGAUGAGAAAUUAAGGCUUGGAACAGUAAGGUAUCUGUGCAGGUCGCACAGCCACACCUUGCUGCAGGUGAGGGAUCCAGGGUGUGAACUCGGCAGUCUGGCUCCUGCUGAACUAUGGCCCCAAGGUGUGAGGCUGUGAGGGGCCCACAGUGGCCCAAGCCUGGGCUGGAGAGCACAGAUAGCAAGGGCUGAAUAGUACUUACCACCCAAGGCACUUAAGCACGCCAUGACCCUAACAAGGUAAGGGUUUAUAGAUGACAAAAUAAGCAUAAGGAGUGACAAAGUGCCCGGAGUGACAAAGUGCCCAAAGUGACACAGUUAGUAAUGCCAGAGAUGUCAGUGCUUUUUCAUCAGCGUUUCUUGACCUUUAAUGUGCAUGCGUGUGAUCACCUAGGGAUCUUGUUAAAAUGCAGAUCUAGGCUCAGCCAGUCUGGGGUAUCGCCCAAGACCCUGCAUUUCCAGCAAGCUUCCCUGUGAUGCCGAUGCUGCUGGCCUGUGGGCCAUGAGUCAAGCAGCCAGGCUUUGUGCUAUCUUUGCCUCUUGAUAGUUCAGCUGCCUUUUUGUAAUCAAUUAGGCUUUCCCAAAUAGCUCCAUGUGUUAGCAGGAAUAAUUUUAGCUAAUAUCUAUUGAGUGCUUACUGAAUAUCAGGCCCUGUAUUAAGAGCUUUAUAUGGAUUAUCUCUUUGAUUAAAUGAGGUAGGAUACAGUUAUUGUCUCCAUUUUAUUUUUUCCCAUUUUUCAUUUACUAAAAAUGUUGGUUAUAGAACAGCAGCAUCGCAGUUAGUCAUGAUAUCAAGUAGUCAGCUUAUUUAAUAUAGCA
ensembl:lncRNA